CCGAGUUUACAACUCCCAAACCCUGUGAACAUACCAAUCGUUGCCUCGGCGGGAUCGCCACGGCGCCCCCGGGCCCGGACCCAGGCGCCCCGCCGGAGGACCCCAAAAACUCACUGAUUCCACGGUGUAUCUUCUGUAGUGACACAAACAAAUAAAAUCAA
rnacentral:misc_RNA from 1 species